GAUGAACGCUAGCGGCAGGCCUAACACAUGCAAGUCGAGGGGCAGCACAGAAACAGCAAUGUUUUGGUGGCGACCGGCGGACGGGUGCGUAACGCGUAUGCAACCUACCUUUAACAGGGGGAUAACGGAGAGAAAUUUCCACUAAUACCCGAUAACAUCGAUCAAGGCAUCUUGAUUGGUUGAAAACUCCGGUGGUUAAAGAUGGGCAUGCGUUGUAUUAGGUAGUUGGUGAGGUAAUGGCUCACCAAGCCUACGAUACAUAGGGGGACUGAGAGGUUAGCCCCCCACACUGGUACUGAGACACGGACCAGACUCCUACGGGAGGCAGCAGUGAGGAAUAUUGGUCAAUGGGGGCAGCCCUGAACCAGCCAUGCCGCGUGCAGGAAGACGGCUCUAUGAGUUGUAAACUGCUUUUAAACAGGGAUAAAGCACAGUAUGUAUACUGUGUUGAAGGUACUGUAAGAAUAAGGAUCGGCUAACUCCGUGCCAGCCGCCGCAGUAA
rnacentral:rRNA from 1 species